rnacentral:rRNA from 1 species
GAUGAACGCUGGCGGCGUGCUUAACACAUGCAAGUCGAACGGAAAGGCUCCUGCUUGCAGGGGUACUCGAGUGGCGAACGGGUGAGUAACACGUGGGUGAUCUGCCCUGCACUUCGGGAUAAGCCUGGGAAACUGGGUAUAAUACCGGAUAGGACGAUGGUUUGGAUGCCAUUGUGGAAAGUUUUUUCGGUGUGGGAUGAGCUCGCGGCCUAUCAGCUUGUUGGUGGGGUAAUGGCCUACCAAGGCGUCGACGGGUAGCCGGCCUGAGAGGGUGUACGGCCACAUUGGGACUGAGAUACGGCCCAGACUCCUACGGGAGGCAGCAGUGGGGAAUAUUGCACAAUGGGCGCAAGCCUGAUGCAGCGACGCCGCGUGGGGGAUGACGGCCUUCGGGUUGUAAACUCCUUUCGCUAGGGACGAAGCGCAAGUGACGGUACCUGGAGAAGAAGCACCGGCUAACUACGUG